CUCACCCGGCACCUGCGUCCACUCUCUAGCGUCCCAAGUGAGUGGAGGGGGGAUCCCGACUCCAGUCCGGGGCCUUGGCCAGCGGAGCCGCGCUGUUCGGAAGCGGGAAUCCCACUAAGAGCCCGGGCCUGUAGGGGCGGGGCGUCCCGGGCACCCGGGAUUGGGGCGUCUCCCGUCGUGCACCGGGGCACCGGCGACUCACCCGGAAGGAGAAGCCGUGAUCUGGCUAUAUGGUGGGGCGCGGGCGGUGUCGCUGUGGGGAGCUGGUGCUGUUCUCAGAUGUUUCCUUCCAAUGGGCUUUUCGUGUAGGAUGUCGGAGAACCAAGAACAGGAGGUAAGAGUGUGGUCUCCAGAGAACAGGUGGGUAAAAGUUGGAGAGGGGAUUUAGGAGGAAAGAGGACACAGAGAUGCAAAUCAUUAAUCAUUACCUGCAGUAUUACUUUGGUGGUUCUGAUGAACUCAGAAUAAAGUCAGGAGAAAGAAAUCAAUAGCAGAGGCAUUCCUAGGAAAUGGGGUUCCAUUCUGACUAAAUUUUCCUUUGAUUGGAAUAUACUGGAAUGUAAGCUUCAUGGGGGCAGGGACUUACGUCUCUUGUUCAUGCUUUAUCCCCAGUGCCUAGAACAGUGUCUGACACAUAGUGGGGCUCAGUAAAAAUUUGUUGAAUUGAGUGACUGAAUUGAGUGAAUGAAAGUUGAAUUG
rnacentral:sRNA from 1 species